GACGACUACGUCGUGCAAGUGAGCAACUGCGUGGCGCACGAUGGAGCUUACCAGAGGAUGAUCUUGAUCGAUGAAGACGGAUGUACAGCUAGCGCUCGUAGACUAGCCCAGGACGUACAACACAAGUACUACCUGGGGAUAAGUCAAUUAGAGACGCUGAAGGACAACAACAGAAAGAUACUCUACGCGCCUUUCACGGGCUUCCAGUUUCCCGACCGGCAGAACGUUUACUUUCAAUGUGAUGUCAACGUUUGUUACCAGCAA